rnacentral:lncRNA from 1 species
UUUUAUUAAGAUAUUUUAAUAAUAUUUUAUUUAUUUUAGGUUAUUACAAAAGGAAGGAAAAAUGAAGAAUAUUCUUUAUUUUCAUGCUUCCAAUGUUAAUGAAAAAGGGAGAGAAGAGAAACUUUUCUUUCCUUGCAAAUUAGUCCUUUUCCAUCAAUUUCACUAUUUUUACCCAAAAUUCAUGAGAAUUCCCAUAACCAC